rnacentral:lncRNA from 1 species
GCGGAUCCGUAGGAUGUCCCCCGGGUUUGGGGCGCGCCCCGAGGCGCAGACCCUCUUUGGCGACUCCACACAAUAUGCAGCCCGCCUGCAAGCAGCCGCUGCAGCCGAGGGGCGCGCCUGGCUGAUGUGUGGUUGAAUGGAGAGCGGCCCAACCCUCCUCCUUCCUCCUCUUCUUCUCCCCGCCCUGACACCCGGGCCUCAAACUUCAACCAAAGCCCGUGCCCUUUUCAAUUUACCCCCCUCGAUCAAAAUGAGCCAUUCUUGUCUGUCCUCCGCGGCGGCCCAUUGUCUGGCGUGAUAGGUUUGCAGAUUUGACAGCUGGGCGCACGCAGAUUUGAUUCAAACUCGGUCUCCCCGAGAGAUGAACUUGGACAUCAGCAAAGAUCCCGAGCACUGCCGGCUGGCUCCUAGACCGGUCUCCCGAC